AGUGAACGCUGGCGGUAGGCCUAACACAUGCAAGUCGAACGGCAGCACAGUAAGAGCUUGCUCUUACGGGUGGCGAGUGGCGGACGGGUGAGGAAUACAUCGGAAUCUACUUUUUCGUGGGGGUUCACGUAGGGAAACUUACGCUAAUACCGCAUACGACCUACGGGUGAAAGCAGGGGAUCUUCGGACCUUGCGCGAUUGAAUGAGCCGAUGUCGGAUUAGCUAGUUGGCGGGGUAAAGGCCCACCAAGGCGACGAUCCGUAGCUGGUCUGAGAGGAUGAUCAGCCACACGGGAACGGAGACAGGGUCCAGACUCCUACGGGAGGCAGCAGUGGGGAAUAUUGGACAAUGGGGGCAAGCCUGAUCCAGCCAGACCGCGUGGGUUAAGAAGGCCUUCGGGUUGUAAAGCCCUUUUGUUGGGAAAGAAAAGCAGCAGGUUAAUACCCCGCUGUUCUGACGGUACCCGAAGAAUAAGCACCGGCUAACUUCGUG
rnacentral:rRNA from 1 species